UACAGAGGGGGCAAGCGUUGUUCGGAAUUACUGGGCGUAAAGGGCGCGUAGGCGGCCGCCUAAGUCAGACGUGAAAUCCCUCGGCUUAACCGGGGAACUGCGUCCGAUACUGGAGGGCUUGAGUGUGGGAGAGGGAUGCGGAAUUCCAGGUGUAGCGGUGAAAUGCGUAGAUAUCUGGAGGAACACCGGUGGCGAAGGCGGCAUCCUGGACCAUGACUGACGCUGAGGAGCGAAAGCGUGGGGAGCGAACAGG
rnacentral:rRNA from 1 species